GAUGGCAGUUUUCUGCAAGUCAGGAGGUCACAGCUGGUGUGCUGCUGCCCUCUCUCCUGGCUUCUCUCUCUCUCUUCCCAGGUUUCACUGAGAUUUUCCAGCAAAUUGUACCAGGGAAUGUGGUCCUUCCUUUGCUUUUCUGUUAUUUUCACAGAUCAGUCAUGUUGGAUCCCUAGAUACAAUUCUAGAUGCAAUAUUUUUCUACACCCAUCCUUGCCAUUUAAUUUACCUUAUAGUCAAACAUUACAUGCUUCACUAAAGAGCUCAGUCAGGGAAAAAGACCCUAAUCUUAUCUAUUCCAAAAAAACUUUCACUUAGUUAUAGUAACAUUCAUUUUGAACAAUUAGAUUAUAACUUCCUCUAAUAAUUUUUGUAUCUUAAAUCUAGAAAAGGGAACUCUUAAGACAGAAUUCAUUAAUCUGGAAAAACUGAAAAUGUUUUACAUAAGUAUUUAUGAGCACAUAUGCACAUAGGAUUAAAAUUUUUCUGAAAGAUGAUUUAUAAAGAAAUAUAAAGUAUUCCACUUGAAUUUUCAAUGUGAUUAAUAAACACAGCAUUAAUAUAGCAGUAGGUUAUACCAGUACUUGGUCCCUGUAUAGUCUGGAUCUCUGCCAAUACAUACAGGAAGACAGCAGUUGUGGGCCCAAGUACUACACCCCUUCACACUCCUUGAAGCCCUGGUGGUGUUCCUGGCUUCCACUUGGCCAGGCCUGCUUUUGUGGCAUUCUACUCUCUGCCACUCUACCCUUGAAACCAUACUCCAAUAGAUAUUCAACAUUCAAAACAGGAGAAAGCAAACACUAUACGGAUUAAAGAACACAAGGAACAUUAUAAUCAUGCCAUUCUUAAUGUGGGCAUAUAAGGGUUUGUUAUAUAAUGUGAUAAAUGUACAAAUGUUUCAUAAGCCAAUGAAGCAUAAAAUAGUUACUGCAGUGUUUUUUUUUUCUGAUUUUAUCUGAAUAUAUUAUACUUCUCAAAGCAUUUUGAACUAUACAAAUAUCCUGGCUUUGAAUCUUGGGACUGCUAUCAGACUGAACCUGAAUUAACUUCUAGAAUUACAAAAAAGUUGGCUUCCUCAUGCAGUGCCUAUUUCACAGUACUGGAGUCGGACCAGCUGCAUUCUUCUAUGAAUGGACCCCAAGGCCUUAUUUGGAGAUUCUGGAUUUCUAUCAGCAAAGUAGAAAAAUUGCAAACAUAUUUUCAGAAGAGGCCUUCGGUAUAAACUCAGGUAAGUUCUUUGUUUUCUUGGAAUCUUUCUUAAAUGUGUUCCUGUAGCUUGUUUUAUGAAAAAGUAUGUCUCAGG